UUUGGGAAUAGCAAUAUUUGAGAUAGUUGCUGCUCUUUAUUAUCCAUAAUUGAAGUUAUUUCUAUAUUUGAGUAUGAAUCGAUAUAGGGACAAUAUACCGAUAUUCUAUAAAAUACUAUCGAUCGAAAUAUUAAUAAAGGAAAUUUGCAAUUCGAUCAGAUGCAAAAACCGAAUAAUUCGAUAUCUCGAAAAUAUUCAUCCUAUUCUUCGCAUAAUCACAUAAAUCUCCACUCACGCUGUCGAACAUAAACGUUUAGGCGAGGGUGUGUGUGGGUGGCUCCCUUCAUCAAGGUCGAACGAGGAGCUUAUACCGACGAUGAAACAGCUCGGUAUCAGUUUCUCAUCUAACUUUGAUGACAAUGCCUUUGGAAACGUUGGGAUCCGAAUUCUAUCACGCGUGGCUUACCCGAUAUCCCCAUUAACAGAGAACAAAACCUCCGGAAGAAACGCGUCGAUUUUGAAGCGGUUUGUCGCUCCCCGAGUUCCACGAGAGAGAGAGAGAGAGAGAAGGAGAAGAAAAAAGAAAGGAAGACAAAGAAGAAGAAAAGAAAAAGGAAAGGGGCGAAGAGAAACGAGAGAAGGUAGCUAAGAAGAGGAAAAGGCUAGGAGAUGAAAUUCUCGAGUCAUCCAUUCUGCGUGUCAGGGGGGAUUCCCGUGCGGCAAGAGGUACCGCCGCGUGGAAUCGGUGUAUCCGAGAAAAAAGAGAAGAGCGGGGGAGCGCAGACAGUUGGAUGGUUAUGGAGGAGGACAGAAAACGAUUCGGCGACCAACCAUACCCGGAGCUACUACUAGCGAUGCCCGGAAUCUCUUUGUCGCACGUCUGCGAGCAACUCGUACGAAGGAGGAUUCGAGUUGCUCGAAAUCUCGCUGAACGUGCUCUUAAUCAAUUUGGAAAGAUUGAAAGGAAUGAAGUGGUCGAAAGUUUAUGGUGGUUUUGGUAAUCUCAAAAUGAAGUUUGGGGUGGUUAAUAUGUUUUCGGGGAUGCGGAAAGUUUAACCAGUUUAAUUCUUAGAAAUUGGAUCGUGUAACAGUGUUAAAUAAGCGAAAUAACUCCAACUUUGGAAUCGGUAACGUGUUCCGAUAAAAUGAACGUAUCGAGGUAAGAAAGGCCGAGUCUAAUUAAAACGAUAUCGAUUUUUUUCGAUAUUUUAAAUUGCGGUUGGAAUCGCUGAAAACAUUAGAGCGAUGAGAUUGUUUCGUGGUAAAUGGAUUCCGUGCCGGGAUAUCGGAUGUCUAGAUAUAUUGAAUACGGUGUUAGAUAAAUCCAUUUGCCAAUGAGUCUGCUGAAAUGUGAUUCCUUUUGCUCUCUCCUUCUUUCGAAUCCAUUCUACACUUAUAUUCGAUUGUUCGCGUAAAAGCCUUCUUACUGGUCUUUCGAUGGCCCUGGAAAUAAAAGGAAUGCAGAUAAAAGAAAAAGAAAAACAAAUUAUAUUAUCUAUCAAUAUUGUUUAAUAUCGAAUAUAAUUUCGUUAAUUCCCUUUAACUUCAAAUCUAAUAUUUUCUCGAAAACCAAGUGUUUCCAAUAUCCAGUUUUUCGAACUGCUGCUCGCAAGCAUGCAGCCUCAUCAAAAUCUCUGUUGCACCAUGUGAUGCAUCUACUCCACGUAGCACACGUUCUAUUAUACUUUCAAAGUUUGGACACACAUCGGACACGAUUCGAAGCAUCUUGAGGCCAUCGCUAGCUGGAUCGGGGAAAACAAGGGGCGGUGAAGAGGAGAGGAGGAAGAAGACACUGGAGGAGAUACUUUCGUGGAGGUUCAGGCGAGAAAACUGUCAGCAAAGCUCGGAUUGUAUCACCGUUCCCAGAGGAGAGGUGCACCGUCCACUUGAAAACCUCCAGGCUUUCGGUAACCGCUCGUCCUCAGACGACUGAGGCCCUCGUAUCGUAGAAAUCAGAAAGUAGUUUCGCCGUAACAGUUAAGACGUCCGAAGGGAUUGAGAUUUUUCAAGAAACAUGAUAAAUGCGUCCUCGCUAAGAGUGAUUAAUUUACACGGGGAUCAGGCCUGUCUCUCGUCGAGUUUCGUGGUGGACUCAUGCUACCAACAUUGAAAAUAAUACACCAACGUCAAGGAAAUUGAUACCUUUUUUUUCAUCAAUUCUUUUUUAUUGGAGACCUAUUGGUUUUUCUUUUUAUAUAAAGAAGAUACAAGACUAGGAGGACAUUUGAAAGAUUCAAGAAGAAUUUUGUGAAACGUUUUAAAACUUGUUACAAACUGUAUCGACAGGAGAAAUAUUUCAAUGAUUAACUUAACUAAAAUUUAACGAAAAAAUCGAAUAACGAAACUUCCGUUUCACGUAAGUUUUAAUUAGCUUUAUAUUGGAAUAAUCGGGAUAUUUCAUUCCAAUCAAUUUUAUUUUAUUUCCACGAAAGAAACCAUCAAAUUAUCGAUCUUGUUUCAUGUUCAUCGCCCGUCUCGAACUUCCUGUUCUCCGAACGUCAUAGAAAUUUUACAGGGACAAGUAAAAAAAAAAAAAAGAAAGAAAGAAAGAAUGACCACCUAGAAAAUUCCUUUUUCCAACCCGCAUAAGAAUUGCCUAUGAAUUUAUCAUGGCAAUUCGCGGCUCACUGCGCAGAGCUGGGGCCAAGAUUUCAACGAAUGUCCGUAUCCAUGACACGGAAUCCUACAAGUUGCCCGACGGCUGUAGAUACUCUUGAGAUUUCCCGACGAUUCUUUCCUGAUCACUUCGAAACUUUUCGCUUAAGCGAAAUUCUCAAGUCUUCUAUUAUAUCCGUCAUCGAGUUGGACAGUUUAAUUCUGAACGCACGGGUCUUUUGAAUUUAGUGAUUGCUUAUUGUAUCUACGACUUGAGAAAUGAGAAAAAAGUUUGACUGGGCUAUAAUUUAUAAAGAAUUUAUAAAUUAUCAUUUCAAAAUAUUACAAAUUUUUAUCUAUCGUAUUAUGAAGAAUUAUGAAGAAUAUAAUAGAAAAAUAGAUAGAAAUUUCGAUAGAAAUUUGAGUAUAAAAAUAUAUCAAAUUUAAUAUCUUUUUAUAAUCACGGGGCUAGUAACAUUGUUUUAAAGCGCAAACCAGUUAGUUGUAAGAUAUAUAUAUAGAUACGAAUGCCUUCCAAGUUCCAUUUCGAAAUACAUGUCUCGUUAUUUUAAUUAAUUGAAAGUAAAAAAAUCAGCUGCCUUAAACAGUGGAAGAAAUUGCUUGUUAUAUCAGUAACGAGACGAUCUCGUUACAAGGGGGAACAUGGAAUUUCCAGUAUCUAUUGCCCGGGAGAACAAAAUGCUAAUGGAGAGCGUACUGUAACUGCACGAAAUGCAUCGAUAUCUUGGCCGGUUUAAGAAUCCUUGGAUGCAGGGAAGAGGGAGAAAAAGAGAGACAAACAAGGAGACAGGGCGGCCAAGAUAAGGAGAAGAAAAGUGUUCAUUAAGACUGUAAUGGGGGUAACGUUAAACAGGGUACAUUAACGUUCGCGCUAAGCUUACGGUGUCUUAAAAAGCAGACCUGUUCAUAACUAUGCCUUUCGCAGGGUUAAAGUUUAAGUGUUUCCUAAUAUGGUUGACAGUGUAUCAAAGUAAUAACAAAAGAAGUCCUGUUUUCACGGAAGAAUAAAUUUAAAUUGAAUUACCAUAAUAGAAUAGUGGGUUAGUGGACUAAGAGGGUGCUCCGGUAAGAAAUUUUAAUAUUAAAAUAUUGAAUAUUUCAAUUAAUUAAGGGAGAAGAGUAUUA